rnacentral:rRNA from 1 species
AGAGUUUGAUCCUGGCUCAGGAUGAACGCUGGCGGUGUGCCUAAUACAUGCAAGUUGAGCGGGGCUCCAGCAAUGGAGCCUAGCAGCGGACGGGUGAGUAACACGUAGGUAACCUGCCUUUAAGCCUGGAAUACCCGAGAGAAAUCUCGGCUAAUGCCGGAUAUGUGAUUGAGAGGCAUCUCUCAGUCAUGAAAGGGGCAAUUGCUCCACUUUUAGAUGGACCUGCGGCGCAUUAGUUAGUUGGUGAGAUAACAGCCCACCAAGACGAGGAUGCGUAGCCGACCUGAGAGGGUGAUCGGCCACAAUGGAACUGAGACACGGUCCAUACUCCUACGGGAGGCAGCAGUAGGGAGUUUUCGGCAAUGGGGGAAACCCUGACCGAGCAACACCGCGUGAGUGAUGAAGGUCUUCGGAUUGUAAAACUCUGUUGUGUGGAAAAAAUGAUAGGUAGAGUGGAAAACUACUUAUUUGAUGGUACCACACCAGAAAGCCACGGCUAACUACGUGCCAGCAGCCGCGGUAAUACGUAGGUGGCAAGCGUUAUCCGGAAUUAUUGGGCGUAAAGAGUGAGCAGGCGGUUAUUUAAGUCUGAAGUCAAAUGCUAUGGCUUAACCAUAGUACGCUUUGGAAACUGGGUAACUAGAGUGCGAGAGAGGUAAGCGGAAUUCCAUGUGUAGCGGUGAAAUGCGUAGAUAUAUGGAGGAACACCAGUGGCGAAGGCGGCUUACUAGCUCGUAACUGACGCUCAGUCACGAAAGCGUGGGUAGCAAAUAGGAUUAGAUACCCUAGUAGUCCACGCCGUAAACGUUGAGAGCUAAGUGUCGGGGUAACCCAGUGCUGAAGUUAACACAUUAAGCUCUCCGCCUGGGAAGUACGCUCGCAAGAGUGAAACUUAAAGGAAUUGACGGGGGCCCGCACAAGCGGUGGAUUAUGUGGUUUAAUUCGAAGCAACGCGAAGAACCUUACCAGGGUUUGACAUCCUGCUAACGAAGUAGAGAUACAUUAGGUGCCCUUCGGGGAAAGCAGAGACAGGUGGUGCAUGGUUGUCGUCAGCUCGUGUCGUGAGAUGUUGGGUUAAGUCCCGCAACGAGCGCAACCCCUAUUGUUAGUUGCUACGCAAGAGCACUCUAGCGAGACUGCCGUUGACAAAACGGAGGAAGGUGGGGACGACGUCAAAUCAUCAUGCCCCUUAUAUCCUGGGCUACACACGUAAUACAAUGGCGGUCAACAGAGGGAGGCAAAGCCGUAAGGCAGAGCGAACCCCUAAAAGCCGUCCCAGUUCGGAUCGUGGGCUGCAACCCGCCCACGUGAAGUCGGAAUCGCUAGUAAUCGCGGAUCAGCAUGCCGCGGUGAAUACGUUCCCGGGCUUUGCACACACCGCCCGUCA